rnacentral:rRNA from 1 species
AUGCACGCUGGCGGCGUGCCUAAUACAUGCAAGUCGAGCGAACGGACGAGAAGCUUGCUUUUCUGAUGUUAGCGGCGGACGGGUGAGUAACACGUGGAUAACCUACCUAUAAGACUGGGAUAACUUCGGGAAACCGGAGCUAAUACCGGAUAAUAUUUUGAACCGCAUGGUUCAAAAGUGAAAGACGGUCUUGCUGUCACUUAUAGAUGGAUCCGCGCUGCAUUAGCUAGUUGGUAAGGUAACGGCUUACCAAGGCAACGAUGCAUAGCCGACCUGAGAGGGUGAUCGGCCACCCUGGAACUGGGACACGGUCCAGACUCCUACGGGAGGCAGCAGUAGGGAAUCUUCCGCAAUGGGCGAAAGCCUGACGGAGCAACGCCGCGUGAGUGAUGAAGGUCUUCGGAUCGUAAAACUCUGUUAUUAGGGAAGAACAUAUGUGUAAGUAACUGUGCACAUCUUGACGGUACCUAAUCAGAAAGCCACGGCUAACUACGUG